CUGGAGGUAUCAGAAGUGCGAAUGCUGACAUAAGUAACGAUAAAGCGGGUGAAAAGCCCGCUCGCCGGAAGACCAAGGGUUCCUGUCCAACGUUAAUCGGGGCAGGGUGAGUCGACCCCUAAGGCGAGGCCGAAAGGCGUAGUCGAUGGGAAACGGGUUAAUAUUCCCGUACUUGGUGUUACUGCGAAGGGGGGACGGAGAAGGCUAUGUUGGCCGGGCGACGGUUGUCCCGGUUUAAGCGUGUAGGUGUGUGUUCCAGGUAAAUCCGGUUCACUUUAACACUGAGGCGUGACGACGAGGCACUACGGUGCUGAAGCAACAAAUGCCCUGCUUCCAGGAAAAGCCUCUAAGCAUCAGGUAACAUCAAAUCGUACCCCAAACCGACACAGGUGGUCAGGUAGAGAAUACCAAGGCGCUUGAGAGAACUCGGGUGAAGGAACUAGGCAAAAUGGUGCCGUAACUUCGGGAGAAGGCACGCUGACAUGUAGGUGAAGUGAUUUACUCAUGGAGCUGAAGUCAGUCGAAGAUACCAGCUGGCUGCAACUGUUUAUUAAAAACACCGCACUGUGCAAACACGAAAGUGGACGUAUACGGUGUGACGCCUGCCCGGUGCCGGAAG
rnacentral:rRNA from 1 species